GACGAACGCUGGCGGCGUGCCUAAUACAUGCAAGUCGAACGCAGUGGGGACGGGUGAGUAACACGUGGGUAACCUCCCAUCAGAGGGGAUAACCAUUGGAAACAGGUGCUAAACCGAUACUGAUGGAUGGCGCCGCGGUGCAUUAGCUAGUUGGUGAGGGAACGGCUCAUCAAGGCCACGAUGCAUACCCGACCGGAGAGGGUGAUCGGCCACACUGGGACUGAGACACGGACCAGACUCCGACGGGAGGCAGCAGUGGGGAAUCUUCCACAAUGGACGAAAGUCUGAUCGAGCAACGCCGCGUGAGUGAAGAAGGUUUUAGGAUCGUAAAGCUCUGUUAUUAGAGAGGCGUUAUCUGACCAGAAAGCCACGGCUAACGACGUGCCAGCAGCCGCGGUAAUUC
rnacentral:rRNA from 1 species